rnacentral:rRNA from 1 species
GAUGAACGCUGGCGGCGUGCCUAAUACAUGCAAGUCGAGCGAACGGACGAGAAGCUUGCUUUUCUGAUGCUAGCGGCGGACGGGUGAGUAACACGUGGAUAACCUACCUAUAAGACUGGGAUAACUUCGGGAAACCGGAGCUAAUACCGGAUAAUAUUUUGAACCGCAUGGUUCAAAAGUGAAAGACGGUAUUGCUGUCACUUAUAGAUGGAUCCGCGCUGCAUUAGCUAGUUGGUAAGGUAACGGCUUACCAAGGCAACGAUGCAUAGCCGACCUGAGAGGGUGAUCGGCCACACUGGAACUGAGACACGGUCCAGACUCCUACGGGAGGCAGCAGUAGGGAAUCUUCCGCAAUGGGCGAAAGCCUGACGGAGCAACGCCGCGUGAGUGAUGAAGGUCUUCGGAUCGUAAAACUCUGUUAUUAGGGAAGAACAUAUGUGUAAGUAACUGUGCACAUCUUGACGGUACCUAAUCAGAAAGCCACGGCUAACUACGUG